rnacentral:snRNA from 1 species
GGACAUGGGGGGCGAUCUUGCUGUGACACGUGUCACCCAUUGAUCUCCAGGGUUGAUUCGGCUGAUCUGGCUGGUUAGGCAGGUGUCCCCUUUCUCCCUCACUGAUCCAUGUGCCUCCCUCCGGGAGGUGAGCACUUCUGGACAACCUUCCCUGAAUAGAGGACUGUUUUUUGGUCAAGGGUAUGGGAGUAGCUGCGCUUCCUGCUAGAACCUCUAAGCAAGCUCAAGGCCAUUUUUGUGAAUGAGAGAGGUGAGGCUCAGGACUC